rnacentral:rRNA from 1 species
CCUACGGGAGGCAGCAGUGGGGAAUAUUGGUCAAUGGGCGCAAGCCUGACCCAGCAACGCCGCGUGAAGGAAGAAGGCUCUCGGGUUGUACACUUCUUUUAAGAGGGAAGAGCAGACGACGGUACCUCUUGAAUAAGACACGUCUAACUACGUGCCAGCAGCCGCGGUAAUACGUAGGUGGCAAGCGUUGUCCGGAUUUACUGGGUGUAAAGGGCGUGCAGCCGGGAAGACAAGUCAGAUGUGAAAUCCCGCGGCUCAACCGCGGAACUGCAGUUGAAACUGUUUUUCUUGAGUACCGGAGAGGGAGUCGGAAUGCCUUGUGUAGCGGUGAAAUGCGUAGAGAUAAGGAAGAACACCAGUGGCGAAGGCAGAUGACUGGGCGGCAACUGACGGUGAGGCGCGAAAGCGUGGGGAGCAAACAGGAUUAGAUACCCGGGUAGUC